GUCGAAGUGGCGAAAUGAUGAGACGCACAAGGUUCAAACCCGCCUUGUGAGAACGAGACUCGUGCGGGUGAAAAUCCCGCCUUCGACACCA
rnacentral:tRNA from 1 species